rnacentral:rRNA from 1 species
AUUGAACGCUGGCGGCAGGCCUAACACAUGCAAGUCGAGCGAGCAGCGGACGGGUGAGUAAUGUAUGGGGACUGCCCGAUAGAGGGGGAUAACUACUGGAAACGGUGGCGAAUACGGCGUACUGGCGGAUAACCCAUAUGGGAUUAGCUAGUAGGUAAGGUAAUGGCUUACCUAGGCGACGAACCCUAGCUGGUCUGAGAGGAUGAUCAGCCACACUGGGACUGAGACACGGCCCAGACUCCUACGGAGGCAGCAGUGGGGAAUAUUGCGCAAUGGGCGCAAGCCUGAUGGAGCCAUGCCGCGUGUGUGAAGAAGGCCCUAGGGUUGUAAAGUACUUUUAGUCGGGAGGCGUUACCGACAGAAGAAGCACCGGCUAACUCCGUGCCAGCAGCCGCGGUAAUUC